AGAUGAGCCUAGGUCGGAUUAGCUAGUUGGUGAGGUAAUGGCUCACCAAGGCGACGAUCCGUAACUGGUCUGAGAGGAUGAUCAGUCACACUGGAACUGAGACACGGUCCAGACUCCUACGGGAGGCAGCAGUGGGGAAUAUUGGACAAUGGGCGAAAGCCUGAUCCAGCCAUGCCGCGUGUGUGAAGAAGGUCUUCGGAUUGUAAAGCACUUUAAGUUGGGAGGAAGGGUUGUAGAUUAAUACUCUGCAAUUUUGACGUUACCGACAGAAUAAGCACCGGCUAACUCUGUGCCAGCAGCCGCGGUAAUACAGAGGGUGCAAGCGUUAAUCGGAAUUACUGGGCGUAAAGCGCGCGUAGGUGGUUCGUUAAGUUGGAUGUGAAAUCCCCGGGCUCAACCUGGGAACUGCAUUCAAAACUGUCGAGCUAGAGUAUGGUAGAGGGUGGUGGAAUUUCCUGUGUAGCGGUGAAAUGCGUAGAUAUAGGAAGGAACACCAGUGGCGAAGGCGACCACCUGGACUGAUACUGACACUGAGGUGCGAAAGCGUGGGGAGCAAACAGGAUUAGAUACCCUGGUAGUCCACGCCGUAAACGAUGUCAACUAGCCGUUGGGAGCCUUGAGCUCUUAGUGGCGCAGCUAACGCAUUAAGUUGACCGCCUGGGGAGUACGGCCGCAAGGUUAAAACUCAAAUGAAUUGACGGGGGCCCGCACAAGCGGUGGAGCAUGUGGUAUUCGAAGCAACGCGAAGAACCUUACCAGGCUGACAUCAAUGAACUUUCCAGAGAUGGAUUGGUGCCUUCGAGCAUUGAGACAGUGCUGCAUGCUGUCGUCAGCUCGUGUC
rnacentral:rRNA from 1 species